GUGGACUGCUUUGGCUGUCACCAAGAAUAUGAUGGAAAUGAUGCUCAAAUAUUUGAAGCAGUUGAUAAAGACUCCCUUCUCACCAUAGCUUUUAAUAACCAUGUCAAUAUUCUUUUCUUUGCACCUUGUGAAAAUCUGGGUUCUCAGCCAUUGUAACUGGGAAAGACAGUGUGACUUAAUAUGAGGCCACUGGUCCUACUUUGCUAUUGUCUGUGAAGGCAGCUAAGCACAACUGAAGUUGCUGGAGUUCCUUUUUGUAACUGCUGGGGAAGAGGAAGCACAAGAGAGCCUCUGGGUGUGUGGGCGCAGGAAUGCAUAGAGAAAAAAGUAAUUAGUGCCUGUUCACAUUUAUGUCUUUAGUUGGAAAUUAGGGAGCUCUCCUAAAAGUCUAAAGAAAAUCGUGGAUGCUCAAACUGUUUAAAAUGUUUCUAAAUUUAAGUUCAGAAACAAUUUGUUACUAGAUCAGGAGCUCU
rnacentral:lncRNA from 1 species